ACACAACAAUAAGCUCAUGUUAGAUAGAAAGUGAAGAUUUAAUUAU
rnacentral:guide_RNA from 1 species